GUGGAUGCCCUGGCAGUCAGAGGCGAUGAAGGACGUGCUAAUCUGCGAUAAGCGUCGGUGAGGUGAUAUGAACCGUUAUAACCGGCGAUUUCCGAAUGGGGAAACCCAGUGUGUUUCGACACACUAUCAUUAACUGAAUCCAUAGGUUAAUGAGGCGAACCGGGGGAACUGAAACAUCUAAGUACCCCGAGGAAAAGAAAUCAACCGAGAUUCCCCCAGUAGCGGCGAGCGAACGGGGAGGAGCCCAGAGCCUGAAUCAGUGUGUGUGUUAGUGGAAGCGUCUGGAAAGGCGCGCGAUACAGGGUGACAGCCCCGUACACAAAAAUGCACAUGCUGUGAGCUCGAUGAGUAGGGCGGGACACGUGGUAUCCUGUCUGAAUAUGGGGGGACCAUCCUCCAAGGCUAAAUACUCCUGACUGACCGAUAGUGAACCAGUACCGUGAGGGAAAGGCGAAAAGAACCCCGGCGAGGGGAGUGAAAAAGAACCUGAAACCGUGUACGUACAAGCAGUGGGAGCCUCUUAAUGGGGUGACUGCGUACCUUUUGUAUAAUGGGUCAGCGACUUAUAUUCUGUAGCAAGGUUAACCGAAUAGGGGAGCCGAAGGGAAACCGAGUCUUAACUGGGCGUUAAGUUGCAGGGUAUAGACCCGAAACCCGGUGAUCUAGCCAUGGGCAGGUUGAAGGUUGGGUAACACUAACUGGAGGACCGAACCGACUAAUGUUGAAAAAUUAGCGGAUGACUUGUGGCUGGGGGUGAAAGGCCAAUCAAACCGGGAGAUAGCUGGUUCUCCCCGAAAGCUAUUUAGGUAGCGCCUCGUGAAUUCAUCUCCGGGGGUAGAGCACUGUUUCGGCAAGGGGGUCAUCCCGACUUACCAACCCGAUGCAAACUGCGAAUACCGGAGAAUGUUAUCACGGGAGACACACGGCGGGUGCUAACGUCCGUCGUGAAGAGGGAAACAACCCAGACCGCCAGCUAAGGUCCCAAAGUCAUGGUUAAGUGGGAAACGAUGUGGGAAGGCCCAGACAGCCAGGAUGUUGGCUUAGAAGCAGCCAUCAUUUAAAGAAAGCGUAAUAGCUCACUGGUCGAGUCGGCCUGCGCGGAAGAUGUAACGGGGCUAAACCAUGCACCGAAGCUGCGGCAGCGACACUAUGUGUUGUUGGGUAGGGGAGCGUUCUGUAAGCCUGUGAAGGUGGCCUGUGAGGGUUGCUGGAGGUAUCAGAAGUGCGAAUGCUGACAUAAGUAACGAUAAAGCGGGUGAAAAGCCCGCUCGCCGGAAGACCAAGGGUUCCUGUCCAACGUUAAUCGGGGCAGGGUGAGUCGACCCCUAAGGCGAGGCCGAAAGGCGUAGUCGAUGGGAAACAGGUUAAUAUUCCUGUACUUGGUGUUACUGCGAAGGGGGGACGGAGAAGGCUAUGUUGGCCGGGCGACGGUUGUCCCGGUUUAAGCGUGUAGGCUGGUUUUCCAGGCAAAUCCGGAAAACCAAGGCUGAGGCGUGAUGACGAGGCACUACGGUGCUGAAGUGACAAAUGCCCUGCUUCCAGGAAAAGCCUCUAAGCAUCAGGUAACAUCAAAUCGUACCCCAAACCGACACAGGUGGUCAGGUAGAGAAUACCAAGGCGCUUGAGAGAACUCGGGUGAAGGAACUAGGCAAAAUGGUGCCGUAACUUCGGGAGAAGGCACGCUGAUAUGUAGGUGAAGCGACUUGCUCGUGGAGCUGAAAUCAGUCGAAGAUACCAGCUGGCUGCAACUGUUUAUUAAAAACACAGCACUGUGCAAACACGAAAGUGGACGUAUACGGUGUGACGCCUGCCCGGUGCCGGAAGGUUAAUUGAUGGGGUUAGCGGUAACGCGAAGCUCUUGAUCGAAGCCCCGGUAAACGGCGGCCGUAACUAUAACGGUCCUAAGGUAGCGAAAUUCCUUGUCGGGUAAGUUCCGACCUGCACGAAUGGCGUAAUGAUGGCCAGGCUGUCUCCACCCGAGACUCAGUGAAAUUGAACUCGCUGUGAAGAUGCAGUGUACCCGCGGCAAGACGGAAAGACCCCGUGAACCUUUACUAUAGCUUGACACUGAACAUUGAGCCUUGAUGUGUAGGAUAGGUGGGAGGCUUUGAAGUGUGGACGCCAGUCUGCAUGGAGCCGACCUUGAAAUACCACCCUUUAAUGUUUGAUGUUCUAACGUUGGCCCCUAAUCGGGGUUGCGGACAGUGUCUGGUGGGUAGUUUGACUGGGGCGGUCUCCUCCUAAAGAGUAACGGAGGAGCACGAAGGUUGGCUAAUCCUGGUCGGACAUCAGGAGGUUAGUGCAAUGGCAUAAGCCAGCUUGACUGCGAGCGUGACGGCGCGAGCAGGUGCGAAAGCAGGUCAUAGUGAUCCGGUGGUUCUGAAUGGAAGGGCCAUCGCUCAACGGAUAAAAGGUACUCCGGGGAUAACAGGCUGAUACCGCCCAAGAGUUCAUAUCGACGGCGGUGUUUGGCACCUCGAUGUCGGCUCAUCACAUCCUGGGGCUGAAGUAGGUCCCAAGGGUAUGGCUGUUCGCCAUUUAAAGUGGUACGCGAGCUGGGUUUAGAACGUCGUGAGACAGUUCGGUCCCUAUCUGCCGUGGGCGCUGGAGAACUGAGGGGGGCUGCUCCUAGUACGAGAGGACCGGAGUGGACGCAUCACUGGUGUUCGGGUUGUCAUGCCAAUGGCACUGCCCGGUAGCUAAAUGCGGAAGAGAUAAGUGCUGAAAGCAUCUAAGCACGAAACUUGCCCCGAGAUGAGUUCUCCCUGAGACUUAGAGUCUCCUGAAGGAACGUUGAAGACGACGACGUUGAUAGGCCGGGUGUGUAAGCGCAGCGAUGCGUUGAGCUAACCGGUACUAAUGAACCGUGAGGCUUAACCUU
rnacentral:rRNA from 1 species